GUUGAUAAGGUUAAGUGAAUAAGGGCGCACGGUGGAUGCCUUGGCACUAGGAGCCGAUGAAGGACGGGACUAACACCGAUAUGCUUUGGGGAGCUGUAAGUAAGCUAUGAUCCAGAGAUUUCCGAAUGGGGGAACCCAAUAUCUUUUAUAGGAUAUUACUUUUCAGUGAAUACAUAGCUGAUUAGAGGUAGACGCAGAGAACUGAAACAUCUUAGUACCUGCAGGAAGAGAAAGAAAAUUCGAUUCCCUGAGUAGCGGCGAGCGAAACGGGAAGAGCCCAAACCAACAAGCUUGCUUGUUGGGGUUGUAGGACUCCGAUAUGGUAGUCUGUUAGUAUAGUUGAAGGAUUUGGAAAAUUCCGCUAAAGAGGGUGAAAGCCCCGUAGACGAAAUGCUGACAACACCUAGGAGGAUCCUGAGUACGGCGGAACACGAGAAAUUCCGUCGGAAUCCGCGGGGACCAUCCCGCAAGGCUAAAUACUCCCUAGUGACCGAUAGUGAACCAGUACCGUGAGGGAAAGGUGAAAAGCACCCCGGAAGGGGAGUGAAAUAGAUCCUGAAACCGUGUGCCUACAACAAGUCAAAGCUCGUUAAUGAGUGAUGGCGUGCCUUUUGUAGAAUGAACCGGCGAGUUACGAUUGCAUGCGAGGUUAAGUCGAAGAGACGGAGCCGCAGCGAAAGCGAGUCUGAAUAGGGCGAAUGAGUAUGUAGUCGUAGACCCGAAACCAUGUGAUCUACCCAUGUCCAGGUUGAAGGUGCGGUAAAACGCACUGGAGGACCGAACCCACGUACGUUGAAAAGUGCGGGGAUGAGGUGUGGGUAGCGGAGAAAUUCCAAACGAACUUGGAGAUAGCUGGUUCUCUCCGAAAUAGCUUUAGGGCUAGCCUCGGAAUUGAGAAUGAUGGAGGUAGAGCACUGUUUGGACUAGGGGCCCAUCUCGGGUUACCGAAUUCAGAUAAACUCCGAAUGCCAUUCAUUUAUAUCCGGGAGUCAGACUGCGAGUGAUAAGAUCCGUAGUCGAAAGGGAAACAGCCCAGACCACCAGCUAAGGUCCCAAAAUAUAUGUUAAGUGGAAAAGGAUGUGGGGUUGCACAGACAACUAGGAUGUUGGCUUAGAAGCAGCCACCAUUUAAAGAGUGCGUAAUAGCUCACUAGUCGAGUGACCCUGCGCCGAAAAUGUACCGGGGCUAAACAUAUUACCGAAGCUGUGGACUACACCAUUAGGUGUAGUGGUAGGAGAGCGUUCUAAGGGCGUUGAAGGUCGAUCGUGAGGACGGCUGGAGCGCUUAGAAGUGAGAAUGCCGGUAUGAGUAGCGAAAGACAGGUGAGAAUCCUGUCCACCGUAUGACUAAGGUUUCCUGGGGAAGGCUCGUCCGCCCAGGGUUAGUCGGGACCUAAGCUGAGGC
rnacentral:rRNA from 1 species